CAGAGCCUGGGUGAUGCAGGUGAAGAAAGUCUAUUUUGUUGGGGAUGAGAUGGGGAAAUCCUGUGGGAGGCUGCCUUUUUGGGAUGCACAUACACAAAUCCCUUGGCUUGCGCACAGUUGGAUAAAUAGGACCAGUUUCCACCUGAUGUGCAGUUCCCCACCAGAAACAAAGGUGUAAACCUCAGGAGUUUUGAGCUGCAGCCUCAGGUCCCCUCUAUGGCUCCACCAGCAACCGGGAAUGAGAAGCAGCCCUGAACAGCAACAAGGAGUCUACUGGAUGGACCGGGAUGCAGAUGAAUCAUGGCCUGCAAUUAUGUCAGACUCUGCAAUAUGUUUCUCAUUUGCUGAACUAAGGCUUUUAUGAAACAAUAGUGCAGUGUGUGCUAUGUCAAAGGCAAGAGAGCUGAAGGAUAGUGGGGAAGUCAGAGCGACAAGAAAUAAAUAGCCCAUGGUAGGUAUGGACUCUGCUUCCUUUUCUAAUUUUUAGUUUAUAUUCAGUAACUUAAAUGGCAUUUGACUUAUGCUCAAAGUAAAGUCAGUACUGCCACACAUCCCUCUGUCUUCAUUUAGGCUGCUUACAGCUUUCUAAUGUUUUGGGAAAAAAAUAUUCGUAUUUAAUUACUCAUUCUUAAAAAAUAAUACCUAGCAAUUAUGUAAUGGAGUUCUUAAUUAAUCCAUUUAUUCGCAUACAUGGGCACAUCAUGCUCCUGCUGCUAUCACUGAGGAAUCCCAAACAUUUAUUUGGUGGAGGUUAUUUACCCUGUUUUUGAUCCCGGGUGUGUGCUGAAGUGUGGUGUGAAUCUGGGGGGCUGUGGUCAGACCCCGCCAGGGCUGCUGCUCCCGGUGACAGGCUGUGCCUGCAUAUGGGCACUCUGAUAGAAACACUUCAUGUAACCACUCAAGUGUUCAUAAUGCCACUUUUUUGCACUGACUA